rnacentral:rRNA from 1 species
AUACGGAGGGUGCAAGCGUUAUUCGGAAUCACUGGGCGUAAAGGACGCGUAGGCGGGUUGGCAAGUCAGAUAUGAAAUCCUACAGCUUAACUGUAGAACUGCAUUUGAAACUGCUAACCUAGAGUAUGGGAGGGGGAGAUGGAAUUAGUGGUGUAGGGGUAAAAUCCGUAGAUAUCACUAGGAAUACCGAAAGCGAAGGCGAUCUCCUGGAACAUAACUGACGCUAAGGCGUGAAAGCGUGGGGAGCAAACAGGAUUAGAAACCCUAGUAGUCC